GCUGGGCAUGGUGGUGCUCACCUGUAAUCUCAGCACCUUGGGAGGCUGAGGCAGGAGGAUCAUGAGUUCAAAGCCAGCCUCAGCAACUUAGUGAGAACCUGUCUCAA
rnacentral:sRNA from 1 species